AUUGCCCAGGCUGAAGUGCAAUGGCACGAUCAUGGCUCACUGCAACCCCCGCCUCCAGGGUUCAAGCGAUUCUCCUGCCUCAGCUUCCCAAGUAGCUGGGAUUACAGGCACCUGCCAUCACUCCCGGCUAAUUUUUUGUAUUUUUCAUAGAGACAGGGUUUCACCAUAUUGGCCAGGCUGGUCUCGAACUCCUGACCUCAGGUGAUCUACCCACCUUGGCCUCCCAAAGUUCUGGGAUUACAGGUGAGAGCCACCAUGCCCCGCCCAGAACUGUUUUCAUCUCCCAAACUGAAAUGUUUACCCAUUAAACAGUAACUCCCCCCACUGCUCCCCCAGCCCCUGCAAAGCGCUAUUCUACUUUCUAUAAAUUUAACUACUCAAGGUGCCUCAUUUUAAUGUAACCAUAUAUGAUUUGUCCUUUUGUGACUUAGCAUAAUAUUCUUCUAUUAGUCUACUUGGGCCGCUACAACAAAAUACCACAGACUGGGUGGCUCACAAAGAGCAGAAACUUAUUUGCUGGAGGCUAAGAAGUCCAAGAUCAAAAUGUCAAAAGUUUCUGAACAGAACAUAUCUUCCAGUAGCUUCCUGAGAAAGUGUAUAUGCAAAGCACACUUCUGAGAUCUUUCAGAUGGUUUUGCCACAUUGCCCAGGAUGGCCUUGAACUCCUGGGCUCAAGUGAUCCACCUGCCUUGGCCCCCCAAAGUGCUGGGAUUACAGGUUGCUAUGAAAAGAAAAAUCAUGAUUUUAAAGAUGGAGUUUUGCCAUGUUGCUCAGGCUGGCCUCGAACUCCUGGGCUCAAGUGAUCCAUGAACUUCUGCCUCCCAAAGUGCUGGGACUGCAAGGAUUUUAGCAUCAAUAUUAUGGAGGCUAUGCCUGAACUCAACAACACGGACUUCUACUCACCAAGGCUGAUCUUGUACUAAUACUAAGUGCCCAACCUGACAACAGAGAAGAUGAUGAGCCUCUAUAAGACACCAUUCCUUAGGGGCAUCAGCCAGUCCCAUGGUGGUAGGAUUAUUACAUGGGACACCUUUCAUCAUGAUGAAAACAGAAACUUUUCCUCAUGGAAAUGAAUAUGUAUUUUAGACACACAUUUACCUUCUUUGCUGACAAUGAUUCUGUCAUCACCAUCUCCAUGGACUUCCAGAAUGCCUUAAUCAUCAUCAGGGUAUCCUACACAAAGUUGUCUCUGACCAAGGAACUCAUUUAAUGGUAAGUGAAGUGUGCAUCCAAAGAUUCACUAGUCUUUACUACUUACUUUGCCAUGCAGAAGCAGCUUGCCUUACACAAAAAUAAAUAACUUACUGGAAGCUUAGUUAUGGGAUCACCUGUU